GGGCGUGUAACUCAGUGGUAGAGUGCUCGCUUUGCACCGGAUCUAGUCCUAACAGUGUAUAGUUUGCGAGAAGCCCAGGGUUCGACUCCCUGCUCGUCCA